GACUUCAGGAUAUCAGGGAGAAUCUCGUCCACUCCCGGUGCCUUGCCAUCGAGGAGCUUAAAGACCACCUCAGUGACUUUAGCUUGGGUGAUGGACGAGUCCACCUCUGAGGCCUCUGC